rnacentral:lncRNA from 1 species
GUGAAUGCAGAUUAGUGAUAUGAUGAGUUUGUUGGAAAGUUGCAAUUCUUUAUGGUCUACUAGUUAGCCUAAAGAAUGAUGGCAAUAAAAGGAAGUCAAGGAUCUUUUGAAUAUGCGCAUUUUGGAAGAUUCUAGACCUGCCAAGACUUAUGCCAACAACCACUGGACUUGAUCAGUACAAGAAAGGUACAUCAACUGAAAUGUCAAGUCUCAGAGGUAUUCAACUUAUCACUUUACUUAACUGCAAGUGGAUCACAUACUAUAUUUUUCAUAAGGUAUUACUUAUUUCAUGAGCAUGUCUAUCGUAUUUAUUAAAUGAAUUCAUGAGUAUUAAAUUGUCUAUACUUAGGACUUGUGAAUUU